UGCUUAACAGAGAGAGGCUCCGCCCAGCAAUUAGACACAGGUGGAGCAGAUUAGGACAGAGCAGGUAAUCAGACAGGUGGGCUGGACCUGAGAGAGGACAUGGGCUGCUGCGUGCCAAAUAAUCCAUUUCAGGGCAUGUGACAUAUUUGCCACAACAGUGUCUUAAUCUGAAUGGAGGGGGAGAGCAGUAGCCUACAGGAGUGAAGCAUGCAUAAAAAACAGCACAAUAACCCCUCCACCUCCACCACCACCAGCAGUGUUGCUCUGAAGCACGUCAGAGGAAGCGGGCUAUGAAUCGAGGUGCACAGCGGGGUAAAGAAAACAUUUCUUGGGGACACAGCUAGGGGACAGUGCCGGUCUCCUGACUCGGGACUGACACUCCCCUCCCCUCCACGCACACAAACUAACAUCCCGGAAAGCUUCAAGUCCACAUCGCGCUGCAGGGGAAAACAUCUGAGGUAAUUAUGCAGAGUUUUUUGCACUUCUCUGCUCGCUUUGAAACAAUGUGAGCCGAAUAAGGGAGGGAGUGGAGGCGGUGGCGGAGGUAAUGGUGGUGAGGAUGUCAACUCAGUGGUAAAGUCAAGAGGCACGUGUUUGUUUUUGAAGUGGGGG
ensembl:lncRNA